rnacentral:lncRNA from 10 species
AUGGCUUCCUACUUUUCUCCAGCCUUCAAAUCACCUGAAAGCUCCUGCUCAAGUUGCAUCUGUGUUGAACAGUCUGUGCCAUGCCAGGCCUCUUUGUUUUGUGGAUUCAUAAGGUAAGCAGAUAUAUGUCAUAUUUUCUUCCUGACCACCCUCCACACUUCAACUUGAAAUCCACAGUGCCUUCCCCCUCAAGCUGCCAGUGAGGUGAAUGCAAUCACCGUUAUCAGCAAUGCUUUGUAUAAGCAACUCACAAACCCUGCUAUGAUGGAUUUACUGCAGUUGAGUGUUGUAGACAACAGGAAGACCAAAUGGAGUGGAGAGAUUGAUAGAAAGAUCAUUUUUCUUCAUCCUAAAUAAACAAAAAUAAAUCCUUCUAUAAAUCUGUCAUUAUGAUCUUUUGUUUAAUGAACUUUUUUGACCCUCAAUGACAGAAGGCACUGACGUUCCACUGCAAUGCUGCAUAAGGCAGAAAUCCGUGUAACUUUGGUACUGUGUAGAUGGGCAUAUUUACAGUAUGUAAUCUCAAGAAUCUGAAUUUUCAUAGCCUUUACAAUUCAAAUAGACUUUAUUUGUCUUACAUAAUUUAACUUUGUUUUUCUUUGUUGCCAUCUUUUUACCACAUUAAUAUUUUGUUUUACUCAUCAGCUUGCCUUGGUCUCAAUUAAGCAUCCCUAUUUCCUAAUACUCUGCUAAAAACCUUUAGGAUGCAUGAUUGAUACAUCUCGAUGUUUGCCUUUGUACUGCACCAGACUUUAUUUUCCUACAGGACAAUAUCUCCCAAGAAUUGAGCUGAGUGAUUGUCACGUGUUUCACAGACAGUCAGCAUUUGUUGAACAAUUAAAUAGAAACUCACUUCAUAAAUCUUUCAUAGCAUUAUAAUUGGUAACCUAUCUUAAUUCUACAUCUCCGGAUUUUUUAUCUUACUCUAAUUGAGCUGAUGCCAGAAGUAUGCUCUCUUAAAUCCACUUCCAUUUGUCUCUAUUUCCUUAAUUUCUUUAAAUUCAGACCCAGUUUCUUGCUGUAGAAGGGGAGGGAUGGAGUGAUGAUUGUACUGAUGUAAUUUUAAAGAUUGAACUCAGGAAUCACAUUUUGAUUAGCAGGUGGCACACUGAUGUUUGAGAAGGAAAUGAAAAGUGAAUUCAUAUGCAAAUCCAGUAUUGUGCAUCUUCAGUGCACUUAAUGAAUGGUGGUAUUGAUUUAAUUUGGUUAAUAAAUUUUGGAUAAAUAGAACUCUUGAUUAAAAUAGUACAUCUCAAGGGAAAAAGUCAUAUCUGAACAGACAAAUUACCAAAGGUCGAAGGCUUCCCCUGACUGGAGUGUCACUCUUCUCACCCUGGUGUUAAUUACGUUUGUCAACUAGCAUAUCAUUCAUGGGAAUAAUUUGGAUUUUCAGUAAGUAUGUGAUCCAGUCCAAAUAUUUCUCUUUUUUCCUCAUGGCCUGCUCCAAAAACAUUUAUCAGAAAAUUUCUACAUAAAAUUCAUAGAUUAUGGCAAAUGGAAGGGAACUUGAAGUGCAUAUUGUCUGUAACUACUCAUCUAACAUUUAUCCAAUCUCUUCUUCAACAUUUUGCAAAAUGGGUUAUAUCAUCUUGGCUCAAACUCAAGCAGAUAUGAGGAGCUAAUUUUGUCAGGACAUAGAAUCCCAUGGCUGGGCAGCUCCAAAUGUUUCUAAAUUGCUUAUAAGGAGCUCAACCCUGUCUUUGUUUCUUUUUCUUUGGGGAUGCUAUUCUAUUCCCUAGAGUCUAGAGCAACAUAAGUUAAAACAUGUUUUAACAAAUAAUAAUUAUUCUAAUACUUAGACCUGGUCAUUAUGUGCCUAUGAAAUCUCCUUUUCAUUGCCUAAUUAUAACAAAGCAACAUUUUCAUAACAUAGCUUCUUUAGACACACGAUAUUUUACUCAAAGUUACAUUAAAAGUUCAAGUUUAAAAGUAACCACAAUAUUCAAGAUAGGUCUAACAUAUGCAUAAUUCAAUAGUAAUGUUACACAAAAAUAUUUGUACAAAUUCAAUUUAAUUUUUUUAUCUUUCUGAAUACAGAAAUAUCACCUGAAUUUUAAAAAAAAUUACCCCCUU